AAAGAGGCUUUUUUUAAAGCCAUAUCCGAGCGUAAGCAAUACUCUAU
rfam:Legionella oakridgensis ATCC 33761 = DSM 21215, complete genome.